AAGAAGAAAAAGAAAAAGAAGACCAAGAAAAAGAAGGAUAAGGACUCUAGCUCUUCCUCUGACAGUGAUGACAAGAAAAAGAAAAAGAAGAAGAAGAAAAAGAAGUCCUCCAGCUCUUCUGAUGAAAGCUCUUCUUCUUCUGAUAGUGAUGGCAGCAAGGUACGAUGUGC